rnacentral:lncRNA from 1 species
GUGCCUAGAAGCCCCAUGGGACUAGUCUGUGUCAAACAGGUCCCUGGCUUGUUUGUAUUUACUGGUAUAGGUGACAGCUGGUACAGUAGCAAAUGAAGUUUAGGGAAGGCAAGUGUCAUACUCUUUGGUAGACAUGUCCCAGAUCACUUAGCUGCUUGUAUGUUGAUGUACAGUUCUGCCUUUUUACUCUAGGAGAUGCCAGACACCAAGAGAGCCCUCAGACCAUGACUGAACAAUAUGUUGUUCAUGGGAAGCAAGGCCAGAUGACAAUAUCAGGCAAAGAACUGGAAAUCCACAGCUGUUAGGACAGCAGUCAAAGUGUUUUUGUUUAAGUGAAAUGUGGCCUGAGCUGAAGAAGUGAAUUUGGAGCCUCAAAAUGAUGACGUUUAUGGCUCAGUCCCAUCAAGCACAACUGAAAACAAAUUAUGAAGUCCUAACCUUGAGCGCAGAAGGCUUCUGGAGAAACGUGUUAUCCUACAGCCAGUCAUUAAUAAGUAAGCAAGCUUUUCUAAAAAAGCAACUGGAACAUUACAUGAAUAGCAGAACCUGAUGUGCUCUGUGAGAUGAAGGGAAGGUGAGUGAGGCUGCUGCAGAGGGAAAACCGUCUUCUAGCAGUGAUUCCACAUAUGUUCUGUCUUUAACCUUUGCCCUCUCUGAAUACUUGCCAUGUGCAAAUGACAUGCAUUUCAUACAGAUCUAAGCCAUGCCAUAUUUUUAUAUAGAUUACCUAUGUGUAAGGAGUAUAGUCUAUGAUAAAUAGCAGAGGUUUGUUAGUUCAUAUCAACAUAUGAUCUCGGUGGUAUCUAAAACAUAUGCUACUUACCAUAGCAUUUGCAUGUGCAUUCAUAUGUUUUUGUUCCACUUGGGUUAUCUUAGAGCCUUAGGGUCUACCCA